GCCAGACGUGGUGGCACGCACCUGUCGUCCCAGCUACUCGGAGGCUGGGGCAGGAGGUUCGCUUGAGCCCAGGCAUUCUGGGCUGUAGUGCACUAUGCUGAUCAGGUGUCCAUACUAAGUUUGGCAUCAAUAUGGUGACCUCCCAGGAGCAGGGGACCACCAGGUGGCCUAAGGAGGGGUGAAUCGGCCGAGGUCAGAAACAGAGCAGGUCAAAACUCCCGUGCUGAUCAGUAGUGGGAUCGUGCCUGUGAACAGCCACUGCACUCCAGCCUGGGCAACACAGCGAGACCCUAUCUCA
rnacentral:SRP_RNA from 1 species